UACGUAGGGUGCAAGCGUUAAUCGGAAUUACUGGGCGUAAAGCGUGCGCAGGCGGCUUUGCAAGACAGAUGUGAAAUCCCCGGGCUUAACCUGGGAACUGCAUUUGUGACUGCAUGGCUGGAAUGCGGCAGAGGGGGAUGGAAUUCCGCGUGUAGCAGUGAAAUGCGUAGAUAUGCGGAGGAACACCGAUGGCGAAGGCAAUCCCCUGGGCCUGCACUGACGCUCAUGCACGAAAGCGUGGGGAGCAAACAGG
rnacentral:rRNA from 1 species